CACCUCUGUCGUAUACUGUGAUCUAUCUAACCUGAGACCUAUUCGGAGUAGCCUCCUAAUGGGCAAAUAAUCUCUUGAUGAUGUCACCUAUCAUCCUCUCGAUGAUGUCGCCUAUCAUCCUCCUAAGUCUCUCAUCUCAUGCCUGAUCCACCUCCUCCUGGAGCUCCACCUCACAAUGGGCUCCCACUGGCAUCUUCCAUG
rnacentral:lncRNA from 1 species